UACGUAGGGGGCAAGCGUUGUCCGGAAUCAUUGGGCGUAAAGAGCGUGUAGGCGGCCAGAAAAGUCCGCUGUGAAAACUCGAGGCUCAACUUCGGGCUGUCGGUGGAAACUUUCUGGCUAGAGUCCGGAAGAGGAGAAUGGAAUUCCUGGUGUAGCGGUGAAAUGCGCAGAUAUCAGGAAGAACACCCGUGGCGAAGGCGGUUCUCUGGGACGGUACUGACGCUGAGACGCGAAAGCGUGGGGAGCGAACAGG
rnacentral:rRNA from 1 species